rnacentral:rRNA from 1 species
AUUGAACGCUGGCGGCAGGCCUAACACAUGCAAGUCGAGCGAGCGGCGGACGGGUGAGUAAUGUCUGGGGAUCUGCCCGAUAGAGGGGGAUAACUACUGGAAACGGUAGCUAAUACCGCAUACUAUCGGAUGAACCCAUAUGGGAUUAGCUAGUAGGUGGGGUAAAGGCUCACCUAGGCGACGAUCUCUAGCUGGUCUGAGAGGAUGAACAGCCACACUGGGACUGAGACACGGCCCAGACUCCUACGGGAGGCAGCAGUGGGGAAUAUUGCACAAGGGGCGCAAGCCUGAUGCAGCCAUGCCGCGUGUAUGAAGAAGGCCUUCGGGUUGUAAAGUACUUUCAGCGGGGAGGCGUUACCCGCAGAAGAAGCACCGGCUAACUCCGUGCCAGCAGCCGCGGUAAUUC